GUGCCAGCAGCGGCGGUGAUACGUAGGGUGCGAGCGUUGUCCGGAAUUAUUGGGCGUAAAGAGCUUGUAGGCGGUCUGUCGCGUCGGAAGUGAAAACUCAGGGCUUAACUCUGAGCCUGCUUUCGAUACGGGCAGACUUGAGGGAUGUAGGGGAGAACGGAAUUCCUGGUGGAGCGGUGGAAUGCGCAGAUAUCAGGAGGAACACCAGUGGCGAAGGCGGUUCUCUGGACAUUUCCUGACGCUGAGAAGCGAAAGCGUGGGAGCAAACAGGCUUAGAUACCCUGGUAGUCCACGCCGUAAACGGUGGGCACUAGGUGUGGGACCCUUCCACGGUUCCGUGCCGUAGCUAACGCA
rnacentral:rRNA from 1 species